rnacentral:rRNA from 1 species
UACGUAGGGACCAAGCGUUGUUCGGAUUUACUGGGCGUAAAGGGCGCGUAGGCGGCGUGGUAAGUCACUUGUGAAAUCUCCGGGCUUAACCCGGAAAGGUCAGCCGAUACUGCGGGGCUAGAGUGCAGAAGGGGCAACUGGAAUUCUCGGUGUAGCGGUGAAAUGCGUAGAUAUCGAGAGGAACACCUGCGGCGAAGGCGGGUUGCUGGGCUGACACUGACGCUGAUGCGCGAAAGCUAGGGGAGCGAACGGG